rnacentral:rRNA from 1 species
GUUAUAACCGGCGAUACCCGAAUGGGGAAACCCAGUGUGAUUCGUCACACUAUCAUUAACUGAAUCCAUAGGUUAAUGAGGCGAACCGGGGGAACUGAAACAUCUAAGUACCCCGAGGAAAAGAAAUCAACCGAGAUUCCCCCAGUAGCGGCGAGCGAACGGGGAGGAGCCCAGAGCCUGAAUCAGCAUGUGUGUUAGUGGAAGCGUCUGGAAAGGCGCGCGAUACAGGGUGACAGCCCCGUACACAAAAGCGCAUGUGCUGUGAGCUCGAUGAGUAGGGCGGGACACGUGGUAUCCUGUCUGAAUAUGGGGGGACCAUCCUCCAAGGCUAAAUACUCCUGACUGACCGAUAGUGAACCAGUACCGUGAGGGAAAGGCGAAAAGAACCCCGGCGAGGGGAGUGAAAAAGAACCUGAAACCGUGUACGUACAAGCAGUGGGAGCACCCUUCGGGGUGUGACUGCGUACCUUUUGUAUAAUGGGUCAGCGACUUAUAUUCUGUAGCAAGGUUAACCGUAUAGGGGAGCCGGAGGGAAACCGAGUCUUAAUUGGGCGUUAAGUUGCAGGGUAUAGACCCGAAACCCGGUGAUCUAGCCAUGGGCAGGUUGAAGGUUGGGUAACACUAACUGGAGGACCGAACCGACUAAUGUUGAAAAAUUAGCGGAUGACCUGUGGCUGGGGGUGAAAGGCCAAUCAAACCGGGAGAUAGCUGGUUCUCCCCGAAAGCUAUUUAGGUAGCGCCUCGUGAAUUCAUCUCCGGGGGUAGAGCACUGUUUCGGCUAGGGGGCCAUCCCGGCUUACCAACCCGAUGCAAACUGCGAAUACCGGAGAAUGUUAUCACGGGAGACACACGGCGGGUGCUAACGUCCGUCGUGAAGAGGGAAACAACCCAGACCGCCAGCUAAGGUCCCAAAGUCAUGGUUAAGUGGGAAACGAUGUGGGAAGGCCCAGACAGCCAGGAUGUUGGCUUAGAAGCAGCCAUCAUUUAAAGAAAGCGUAAUAGCUCACUGGUCGAGUCGGCCUGCGCGGAAGAUGUAACGGGGCUAAACCAUGCACCGAAGCUGCGGCAGCGAACGUAUCACCCAAGACAACUUUACGGAGUUGACGAUUGACGGAGCGAAGCGACGUCAAAGCGUUCAUUAAAGUCGAGUUGGCUUAGGGAUACGUUCGUUGGGUAGGGGAGCGUUCUGUAAGCCUGUGAAGGUGUGUCGUGAGGCAUGCUGGAGGUAUCAGAAGUGCGAAUGCUGACAUAAGUAACGAUAAAGCGGGUGAAAAGCCCGCUCGCCGGAAGACCAAGGGUUCCUGUCCAACGUUAAUCGGGGCAGGGUGAGUCGACCCCUAAGGCGAGGCCGAAAGGCGUAGUCGAUGGGAAACGGGUUAAUAUUCCCGUACUUGGUGUUACUGCGAAGGGGGGACGGAGAAGGCUAUGUUGGCCGGGCGACGGUUGUCCCGGUUUAAGCGUGUAGGUGUGUGUUCCAGGUAAAUCCGGUUCACUUUAACACUGAGGCGUGACGACGAGGCACUACGGUGCUGAAGCAACAAAUGCCCUGCUUCCAGGAAAAGCCUCUAAGCAUCAGGUAACACGAAAUCGUACCCCAAACCGACACAGGUGGUCAGGUAGAGAAUACCAAGGCGCUUGAGAGAACUCGGGUGAAGGAACUAGGCAAAAUGGUGCCGUAACUUCGGGAGAAGGCACGCUGACACGUAGGUGAAGUGAUUUACUCAUGGAGCUGAAGUCAGUCGAAGAUACCAGCUGGCUGCAACUGUUUAUUAAAAACACAGCACUGUGCAAACACGAAAGUGGACGUAUACGGUGUGACGCCUGCCCGGUGCCGGAAGGUUAAUUGAUGGGGUCAGCGUAAGCGAAGCUCCUGAUCGAAGCCCCGGUAAACGGCGGCCGUAACUAUAACGGUCCUAAGGUAGCGAAAUUCCUUGUCGGGUAAGUUCCGACCUGCACGAAUGGCGUAAUGAUGGCCAGGCUGUCUCCACCCGAGACUCAGUGAAAUUGAACUCGCUGUGAAGAUGCAGUGUACCCGCGGCAAGACGGAAAGACCCCGUGAACCUUUACUAUAGCUUGACACUGAACAUUGAGCCUUGAUGUGUAGGAUAGGUGGGAGGCUUUGAAGUGUGGACGCCAGUCUGCAUGGAGCCGACCUUGAAAUACCACCCUUUAAUGUUUGAUGUUCUAACGUGGACCCGUAAUCCGGGUUGCGGACAGUGUCUGGUGGGUAGUUUGACUGGGGCGGUCUCCUCCUAAAGAGUAACGGAGGAGCACGAAGGUUGGCUAAUCCUGGUCGGACAUCAGGAGGUUAGUGCAAUGGCAUAAGCCAGCUUGACUGCGAGCGUGACGGCGCGAGCAGGUGCGAAAGCAGGUCAUAGUGAUCCGGUGGUUCUGAAUGGAAGGGCCAUCGCUCAACGGAUAAAAGGUACUCCGGGGAUAACAGGCUGAUACCGCCCAAGAGUUCAUAUCGACGGCGGUGUUUGGCACCUCGAUGUCGGCUCAUCACAUCCUGGGGCUGAAGUAGGUCCCAAGGGUAUGGCUGUUCGCCAUUUAAAGUGGUACGCGAGCUGGGUUUAGAACGUCGUGAGACAGUUCGGUCCCUAUCUGCCGUGGGCGCUGGAGAACUGAGGGGGGCUGCUCCUAGUACGAGAGGACCGGAGUGGACGCAUCACUGGUGUUCGGGUUGUCAUGCCAAUGGCACUGCCCGGUAGCUAAAUGCGGAAGAGAUAAGUGCUGAAAGCAUCUAAGCACGAAACUUGCCCCGAGAUGAGUUCUCCCUGAGACUUAGAGUCUCCUGAAGGAACGUUGAAGACGACGACGUUGAUAGGCCGGGUGUGUAAGCGCAGCGAUGCGUUGAGCUAACCGGUACUAAUGAACCGUGAGGCUUAACCUUACAACGCCGAAG